CCCGCGCGAUGGGGCGGACCACUAAUGCCAGUGGCACUAGCUCCGGCCGGAGGCGCGGGCGAUCCGAGGAGGAAGAAGCUGGCGCUAGCGGCGCUGGCGGCGACUGGGAUCAUCCGGCGGCGGCGCUCCAUCGCCAGCAAUCCAUGCUCGUGGAUGGUAAGCGCCACAGCUUGUCCGUGCCGAUUUGCAAGGAUUUCGGGCGGGGACGGUGCUCCAGGCCCGUGCACGACUGUCGCUAUGCUCAUCCUCCUCCCACCGUGGCCGUGGAAGGCGAUCAGGUGACCAUUUGCUACGACUCUCUUCGAGACAGAUGCGCUCGUGGGAUUUCGUGCCGCUACUUCCAUCCGCCGCAUCACAUUCGCGUUGCCACACAAGAAGCCGUCGGCAUUGAUCCAUCGCCGCUGGGGCUCGAGCUGCGAGCAUCCAAUUUGCUGCUUGGCCCUUCCCCGACAUCUCUUAUCACGAUCUCGAGGCCUUCGAUCGAGGUUUGUAGGGACUUUGUUCGUGGGCGAUGCAAGCGUGAAUCGGACGAAUGUCGUUUCGCUCAUCACGUCCCAGCAGCCGGAGAUGGCGAUUAUGCUAUAGUCUGCCAGGAUUUUAUGCGCGGAAGAUGCGAACGAGAGACUUGCCGCUACUUCCAUCCCCUGGAUCAUCUAAGAUCUCGUGUGAAAGAUAUUGGAGGUGCUCCUGCUGCCGUGUCAAAUCCUCCUCGAUACGAUUUACCAGGUGUCUACUGUUCUUAUCCAGGAUACGAGAACCAGGCGAAGCGAAUGAGGCUGGAUGAAGCGCUUCUCGACCGGCACCACAAGAGCUCAAACCUUCUUAUGGAAGCCGCUGGCCAAUCUCUCCCUGUGUUUAGGCCGUGCUCACCUCCACGGAAUGAUCAAGACAGGCUCCCGGCGUGCCGAGAUUUCUUGCGUAACAAAUGUGCCAGAAGCUCGUCCUGUCGAUUCGUCCACCCAGCUCCCUACACGCAGGUGGUCGACGGCUAUGUAACUCUGUGCCGUGAUUCUCUCCGAGGCAAAUGUUUAAGGGAAGCAUGCCGCUUCCACCAUCCGACGCAAUCGACUUUCCAGCAACGCGAUAACUUCGAGAGUUCCAACACGGAUAACUUCUAUGGGAGCCGAGCGGCAGUAGUAGCAGCUCCGGACUCGUUUGGGGGCCUCUCUCCAAACGAGGACGAUGACAAUCCAGGCGAUCAAGUUGGAGAUGACUAGAGCUGCCGGACUGCUCCUGCUCGCUUCCUUUCGGUCAGAUGCAAAAAAUGCCACUGACUCUACCGCGCUGCGCUAGAUACUGUAAGUUUGCAAGGUCAUCUCUUUACGAAGCUCAACCUCACGCAAGCAGAGACGAUGUUGUUGUAUAUGCGGCGAGCCAGGAGCUUGGCCAUGAAAGAUGUUUCACUCUGUUCUUGAGAAGGUCGAGUCCUCCAUCCGAAUUGCCGUGUCUAUAGCAUGAGCACAACAAUUAUAGUCCCCGCUCCAAAAUAGGUGCCUUGAAACAACUUGAUAAACAGACUAGAAAAUACCUGCAUUGAUCUA